rnacentral:lncRNA from 1 species
CGAAUUUUUUUUUUAAUUCACGUGUUUUAAAUGGUUUAAUUUAAAUUAGGUAAACAGCUGUUGAGGAUUGUUUUUAAAGGUGGUUAACAGAUCUGUUUGUUUACUUUCACCUUUCCUUUUCAUUAUAUUUAAUAAUUCUGUUCAGGAUAAUGUAAAUUGUUCAGAAAAUUGUUUUCUUAGUGCCUGCUGGAAUGUUACAUAAUUUUUUUUAGCCAUCAUUGCCAGAAUUCCUAUCUUCAUCCCAGUGCCGGUGAAGACAAAGAUAAAACUAAGCUAUAGCUUCUUCGAUAGCUAUCACAGUAAACUGUAUAAACUGAUGCAUCAAUGAAUAAUAACUCAACAAGUGAUGCUCAAUCAAGAAGUCGAUUUACUUUGGGAGGAAAUGGACAUAUUAAUGGAUUCCUCUACUUUGAACUGCUUGCAGAACUUGCCUGGACUACGUAUCACUUGCAUGCAUUGUAAACUAUCUGUUGGUGCAGUGAAUUGUGGUAUUGCUGGGGUAUCUUUGCUGAUGGUGUCAGCGGUGGUACAAUUUUUCCAAAAAGAGCCAUCAUUUGGCUUGGUGCUGUGGCAUUUUGCAUCCUCCUCACUUUCUGCUUGUGAUGGUCUAAAAUUUGGGGGCCAACAGAGGUGAGGCAAAGAACCUCACCCACCCACUGG